rnacentral:rRNA from 1 species
CUACGGGGUGCAGCAGUCGGGGAAAUUUUACAAUGCUCGCAAGAGUGAUAAAAUGAGCCAGAGUGUUUCUCCUAGAGAAACUUUUAUUUGCUGUAAAAAGGCAGAUGAAUAAGGACUGGGCAAGACCGGUGCCAGCCGCCGCGGUAAUCCCGGCGGUCCAAGUCGCAUCCACAUUUAUUGAGUCUAAAACAUUCGUAGCUUGUUUUGUAAGUCUCUUGUGAAAUCUUAUAUCUUAAGUAUAAGGCGUGCAAGAGAUACUGCAUCACUAGAGACCGGAAGACGCAAAAAGUAUGAUUGAGGUAGCGGUAAAAUGCGUUGAUCUCAAUUAGACUAACAAUGUGGCGAAGGCAUUUUGCGAGUACGGAUCUGACAGUGAGGAAUGAAGGCUAGGGUCGCGAAAGGGAUUAGAUACCCCCGUAGUC